GCAGCCUCCUGGCAUCAAACUUAUACUAUGGCUUGUUGUGUUUAAAGUGCUUAGACUAGCUGUGUAAACCGGUAUUUCAUUUUAAAAAAAAAAAAACACACACACCAAAUUGUUAGAUAUGUGUAAAAUACAUUGUGAAUCCAGGCUGUAACCCUACAAAAUGUUGACACUUAAGUAAUUAAUAUAUUCAAUUUGGGUUCAUACAGC